rnacentral:lncRNA from 1 species
UCGGGUUCCCGGAGGUAAGUGGAUCGGACGAACUAUCCCAUCAUAAACUAGUCAACUUAUGAACUAGUUUACUCCGAGGACCUAAAUAUUGCUACAAUCUGAACGACAACAUCUACAACUAAUCUGAUCGUUCAAAAUGACAUUCUUAUACCUAAAAGGAUAUAAAAAUCGGAAUUUUUCAGAUCGGAUUCCCGGAGGUAAAUGGAUCGGACGAACUAUCCCCUCAUAAACUAGUCAACUUAGGAAAUAGUUUACUCCGGGGACCUAAAGGUGGCUACAAUCUGAACGGCAACAUCUACAACUAAUCUGACCGUUCAAAAUGACAUUCUUAUACAUAAAAGGAUAUAGAAAUCAGAAUUUUUCAGAUCGGGUUCCCGGAGGUAAAUGGAUCGGACGAACUAUCCCCUCAUAAACUGGUCAACUUAGGAACUAGUUUACUCUAGGGACCUAAACGUGGCUAAAAUCUGAAUGGCAACAAGUACAAUCAAUCCAACCGUUCAAAAUGACAUUCUUAUACCUAAAAGGAUAUAGAAAUCAGAAUUUUUCAGAACGGGUUCCCGGAGGUAAAUGGAUCGGAGGAACUAUUCCCUCAUAAACUAGUCAACUUAGGAACUAGUUUACUCCGGGGACCUAAACGUAGCUAAAAUUUGAAUGGCAAAAAAUACAACCAAUUCAACCGUUCAAAAUGACAUUCUUAUACCUAAAAGGAUAUAGAAAUCGGAAUUUUUCAGAUCAAGUUCCCGGAGGUAAAUGGAUCGGACGAACUAUCCCCUCAUAAACUAGUCAACUUAGGAACUAGUUUACUCCAGGGACCUAAACGUUGCUAAAAUCUGAAUGGCAACAAGUACAAUCAAUCCAACCGUUCAAAAUGACAUUCUUAUACUUAAAAGGAUAUAGAAAUUGGAAUUUUUCAGAUCGGGUUCCUGGAGGUUAAUGGAUCGGACGAACUAUCCCUUCAUAAACUAGUCAACUUAGGAACUAGUUAACUCAGGGGACCUAAACGUGGCUAAAAUCUGAAUGGCAACAAGUACAACCAAUCCGACCGUUCAAAAUGACAUUCUUAGACCUAAAAGGAUAUAGAAAUCGGAAUUUCUCAUAUUGGAUUCUCAGAGGUAAGUGGAUCGGACGAACUAUCCCCUCAAGUUAUAAUAAAACAAACUAACCAUGAUUAUCUAUUUUAAUGACAUCAACAAUGUAACAAACAAAUAUAAUAUAAUUUUUUUAAUGACACCAACAACAAUUUUAAUUAUAAAAAAAGUUAUUUAAAGGUAUAAUAGCACUAGAAGAAAAUGGUCAUUUUGGGACACUCUGAAAGUGUAAAAACUACUAAUUUUUUUUGCACUAAUUUUACGAUGGGUUGCUUUAAGAAAUUAAUUAGUAUAUCAAGCACUUAAUGGAUCAAUUAAUUAAACCAUUAUAAUCAAUAUUAUAAAAUGAUUGUAAUUAUAUAUGUGAUGUUAAGAAUUUAAUCGUGCAAUUGUUUAAAUUAAAAUUAACUGUCUAUUGUUUUGUACAAUUAUUUAUUUUUUAUAAGAUAUAAUUGUACAUAUAACGAAUCACAGAAAGACAUCACUCCUACAACUAAAAUAGACUUAACCGUCUAAUGGUAUCAAAUAUAAUCAACCGGAUCGUUGAAUAUGACCUUAUUGGAAUAAGAACGAAGUAGUAACUGGAAUUUAUGAAUUCAAAAUAUUAUGUGUAAGUUGAUAUGACGAACUCUCCCGUUAGAAACCUAGUCAAUACGGAAAGACAUUACUCCGACGAUCAAAACGGAUCCAACCGACUAACAAUAUCAAAUAUAACCAAUCAGGCCAUUGGAAUAUAAUAUGACCUUAUCAGAAUAAGAACGAAGCACAAAAUGAAAUUUUGAAAAUCAAAAUCUUCAUUGUAUCAUUGUAAGUCGAUAUAACGAAGUAUCCCAUUAAAAACAUAGUCAACAUGAAAGGACAUUACUCCGAC